rnacentral:tRNA from 1 species
GGGGCUGUGGCUAGGUGGUGGAGCGCUUGCUUCACAUGCAUGAGGCCCUGGGUUCGAUCCUCAGCACCA